rnacentral:rRNA from 1 species
UGCAGUCGACGAGAAGUUUCUUCGGAAUGAGUAAAGUGGCGCACGGGUGAGUAACGCGUAGAUAACCUGUCCAAGCGACUGGGAUAGCCCUUCGAAAGGGGGAUUAAUACCGGAUACGUUGAUUGUUUUUAAGGACAAUCAAGAAAGGUGGCCUCUAUUUAUAAGCUAUCACGCAUGGAGGGGUCUGCGUACCAUUAGUUUGUUGGUGGGGUAAUGGCCUACCAAGACUGCGAUGGUUAACGGGUCUGAGAGGAUGAUCCGUCACACUGGCACUGAAACACGGGCCAGACUCCUACGGGAGGCAGCAGUGAGGAAUAUUGCGCAAUGGGGGCAACCCUGACGCAGCGACGCCGCGUGGGUGAGGAAGGCUUUCGGGUCGUAAAACCCUGUCAGAAGGGAAGAAAUGCUUAUAGGUUAAUACCUUGUAAGUUUGACGGUACCUUCAGAGGAAGCACCGGCUAACUCCGUGCCAGCAGCCGCGGUAAUACG